GUUUUCUGAAAUAGCUCUUUAUCUUUUUGAAUUUUUGGCAGUUAUGGUAGAAAAUCACUUCCACUGUAAAUUGUUGAAACACUAUCUAAAUUAUGACUAAAAGGCAUAUAACUGAGAAUGAGAACAAGCCUCAAAGAAAGACAAGCUUGGUUUAUAUAAUAACCUCUCUUGCUGAAGGAAGAGCAUGGAGAAAUGAAGACACAGCUUUGUUUAACCUUUUAAAGUCUAUGUUACAUGUCAUGCACAACAACAAGACAUUCAAAAUAAAUGGAAUUUGACCCUAAAUUAAAAAAAAAUCGAAUUGAGCAAUCCAGUUUUCUUCGUUAGAGUAGAAGAUCACAGAGGUGCAAGAGGAUAAAUAUGAUGCAUAUAAAAACAGAGAGAGAUUUUUCUUUUGCUUUAUCAGCUCAGGGGGCCUGAGAACAAUGGCACUCCCAUUAGGC
rnacentral:lncRNA from 1 species